rnacentral:pre_miRNA from 1 species
AUGCGCAUCCCCUGGAGAACUUGUUAAAGUGCGGAUUCUGAUUUAGGAGGUCUGGGGUUGGUCCUGAGAUUCUGCCUUUCUAACAAGCUCCUAUGUGAUGCUGAU